CCCCUGGAGGCCAGGGGCGCUGGGGAUGAGUGGGCGCUGACCACUCUGGAGGUAACAGAACUGUAGCAUUUGCCUCUUACACUUUGUGACCUCUGCACCCCAGCCGGUUUGGACUUCACUGAAAAGGGAAAAUACGGCUGCGUAGCAUAAACUGGUAUUGAGAAAACUGAGGCACUGUGAGAGAAUAAAACCAAGGAAAAUAAAACAGUAAAAUCAAUCAAAAUAAACCAGAAUAAGUGAUAUGGGACUUCCGAACCUUAUGAAACCAACAAUAGUUACCACAGUGCCUUUGUUGUCUUCAAAACAGCUGCAGAUAUUACCUUUGGACAUAGUAAAAAUCAAACAGAACAAGAUAGAAACAAUAAAAACAAAACAAUGACUGCAAUAAAGGACGUCAAAACAAGCCAGUAAUAAAUAUAUACUGGCUUCUGUAACAUGUCUUGCUAUCUUUCAAAUAGCUGCCCAUGCUGUCAGAGUUAACAUAAACAAAACAGAAGAAAAAAAAAACACCCAACCCAACAAAACAAUGAGAAUGAUACGGUUUCCAGGCGGGAAGCUUCUCCCACAGGGCCAGCUUCUCUCCCUCUGCAGUGAUUUGUUCUUAUGAGGGGAUUUUAGGAAUUAUUGAGUUACUUAAUUAUUACUUAAAGUAAUAAUUAAGAUUCAUGAUUUCAUUAAUGUGCAUGUGUUCAGCAUGAUGAAAUUUAUUAAAAGUUGAUUUUGUAAGUUCAA